rnacentral:rRNA from 1 species
GUGAGUCAUCGAGUCUUUGAACGCACAUUGCGCCCUUUGGUAUUCCGAAGGGCAUGCCUGUUCGAGCGUCAUUAUCACCCCUCGAGCCCCCUGUGGCUUGGCUUUGGACGGUCUGGUUAGGCGACUGACCCCUCCUAAAGACAAUGACGGCGGCCUCGCAGGACCCCCGGUACACUGAGCUUCCUUAACUGAGCACGUAUCGGAUCGAGGGUUCUCGGGGCACGGGUCUCCUUUCCCCCCUCCCCUCGGGGCGGUGGGAAACAACUCUUUCGUCAGGUUGACCUCGGAUCAGGUAGGGAUACCCGCUGAACUUAAGCAUAUCAAUAAG